CCUACGGGAGGCAGCAGUGAGGAAUAUUGGUCAAUGGGCGGGAGCCUGAACCAGCCAAGUCGCGUGAGGGAAGACGGUCCUAUGGAUUGUAAACCUCUUUAGGCGGGGAGCAAUGCCGGGCACGCGUGCCCGGAGGGAGAGUACCCGCAGAAUAAGCAUCGGCUAACUCCGUGCCAGCAGCCGCGGUAAUACGGAGGAUGCGAGCGUUAUCCGGAUUUAUGGGGUUUAAAGGGUGCGUAGGCGGAUUUUGAGGUCAGCGGUAAAAUGUACGGGCUCAACCCGGGCCGGCCGUUGAAACUGGGGAUCUUGAGUGGGCGAGAAGUAUGCGGAAUGCGUGGUGUAGCGGUGAAAUGCAUAGAUAUCACGCAGAACUCCGAUUGCGAAGGCAGCAUACCGGCGCCCGACUGACGCUGAGGCACGAAAGCGUGGGGAUCGAACAGGAUUAGAUACCCUGGUAGUC
rnacentral:rRNA from 1 species